ensembl:lncRNA
CUGGAGCGGAUCCACAUCUAGUGCUGUUAUCUCUGAGGAACACUCCAGUCACAGGACUGAGUGUGUCACCUGCACAAAUGUUGAUGGGGCGGGUUCUCCGCAGCACACUGCCAUGCGCCAGUGCUGUGUUGAGACAGUCAACCCCACAGAACCUUCACGUUAAAGUGCGUGGACUGCAGUCAAAAAGGAAAUACCACUUUGAUCAGCAUGCAAGACCAUUGCCUGUUUUGACCUCAGGCGAUACUGUGCACAUGCAAACAUGGCGCGGUUGGGAGCCGGCUGUUGUAGCACAUCAGCGAGAGGAACCACGCUCCUACGCUGUGCAAACACCAGAGGGUGAGGUGCUCAGGCGGAACAGGAGACAUCUGAGGAAAAUACACCCAAGUCUGUUUAAGGAUACAUCCAUGGACCCAGAUGAUCUGUCUGAACACACCGAAGAGCCAGUUGCGCCAUCAGCAAGUGACACUCCACAACACCCUCGUCCUGCAACUUAUCACACAGUUGAUUUCCAUGUGUGACAACUGCAAGUGUCCAGAGUGAGGACAGACUGAGGGACCCACUGCUGCACAUCAUCUGUGAGGCUUUGCACCCCUGAUGAUCCACCAGGACAAACUCAGCAGUGUGUGAGGAAGAGGAGGAGGAAGAGCCAGCAGCAGCUGACAGAUGGAGAGAAUAGACAGACUGUUCCCUGUUUGUGAAGGACUGCUAGAAAAGUUUAAAAUAACUAAUUGUCUGUCCUGAAUCAGUCUCAUUAGGUAAUGUUCAAAUAAUGUUAUCAUUCCAGUGUUUUCAGUGUGGGAGAAAGUACUCAGGGCCUUCAGGUUACACACUAUGAAAGGCAGCAACACGUUUAAUAUUCCGAAACCUAAAGUAUGUAUCAGCAGCAGAAUGGACCUAAAAAUAAAUGUUUGUUUCAGUUCUAUGAAGCUUUGAGUAUUUUGGAUUAGUAGCACUGCUGUGUUUGUUGCAUCAUAUUGCUGUAAUUGUUUAUAUGCUUUAUAUAUUCUGAGCUAAGUUGAUCUAUAGUGUUACAUCAUAUUCUAUAAGGAUGUUAUGUGUUUGUAUAGUUUCUGCCCAGUUUGACCCAUUUAGCAGAAGUCAGCCUGUUUAAGGCUCUGAUAUCUAUUCUGUAUGACUUAAAGCAGUUAUGACAUGGUCUGAUUUUCUCACCCAAUAAAGGAAUAUUUCAUAUAUCAGUCUACUCUUCAUUCUAUCAGAAACAGUUAUCACAGCUCAUACAUUUUCUUUUUACACAUAUAUAAGCAUUGAACCAAAUUUAGUAAUGCCAACAUAUUAAAAGAACAAUGUUUGUCUCUUAUAUAUAAUACAUCUGUAUAUACACUGUCAGAGAUACUUGUCUUUGACUGAAGAUUUAAGGUGAUAGGACAUAUAAAUAACUGCUACUUGCAUCUUUGACCCAGAGUUCAAGCUCAUAUAUAUAUAUAUAUAUAAUCUG